ACAGAUUAUAUGUAAUAAUGUAUGUUGCAGCAAACCGAAGUGCUCUUUUCUUAUAUAUAUCCCCUUGGUGCCUCCUAAGAAGCAUGGAUGUGCUAGCUCGAAGCUUUUUUGUUUGCUGAGUGCAAACAGUUAUCGUGCUCUGUGUAAUGGCUUCCACAGGCUUGAGUACAGUAUUGAUUUGGUUGGCUGCCUUGCCAGGACGUGGAGCUCUUCUUACAGAGAAUGUGAGCAAACAGCCGGGGAGGGGUCCCAUGGCUUAGAGCUCAGGUAAUUGGUGAGACGAACCCCGCUCCUGGAACCACAGAGCUGUGCGAGAAGAUGAGGUUUGACACUGGAGAAAGCUCUUUCCAACUGCUCAGAAGCAGGCGAAGCUCAGAACAGGAUGUGAUGAGAACACUAAAUUCCAGUGGAAAUGACAGAAGGAUAC
rnacentral:lncRNA from 1 species